UUUUACUUCUUCGUUCUAAAAUCUGUAUCGACGAGAAACAAAAAUCAUUACUAGAAUGUUUCACCUGAUUUACUUUACAAAUUAGGGGUUUGUUUCACCUGAUUUUGUUACUAACUUUGGAUUUACGCUUCGAUUAGAUUUUCAAUGAUUCACAAUUUUGGGGUUUUGAAGAAAGAUCAAAUCCCAUCAGAGCUUCAGCCUUCAAAUGAGUAAUUUGUUAUCGCUCUCUCUUAUUCAUCUUAAGAAGAAGUUUGUAAUGGAAGUAGCAGUAGACAAAAUCAAACACUCCGCAUCAAUUUCAAUCUCCAUCAAGCUUAAAUUGACUGGAUUCAACAUACUCUCCAAAUCAGAGUUCUUCAAGUAAGUGCGAUCUAAUUACCUAUUCAGAAUGGAAUGUCAAUUUUCUUUCGUGCAAUUUAGGGUUUCCACAAAAAUAAUCCCAAUUUGUAGCUGCAUGUUUGGGUUUAGAAACGGAGCCUGAUGGUAAUUUGGUAUUUAAUUUUCUCCCUAUUCAGAAAAUGUCGAAUCCAAGCAAACUGCAAAGCAAACUCUCUUUGAUUUCUUCUCUUUUCGUGGAAUGUAUCGGUGAUUCCUCCUUUUUCUUUUACUUUAUCUCUUUCGAAAUUUUGUUGGUCUCCGACUGUGUGUCGUGAUUCGAAAUCGAUUCCAAAAUCGAAGGUUUGAACCUAAUAGUUUUUAGUGAUAAAAACGUUAUUGUUUUGAGUGAUAAAAACUUGAUUGGUAACAUUCAAUUCGUCCUAAUUAGUUCAUUAUUGUAAUUGGAAGAUUUUUUUUAAAUACCAAAAUUGAGUGAUCAUGACAGUAUUCUACCUAUAAUUCUUUCUCUUUUGUGAACUUUAUCUGUUUGUGAAAAUGCCUAAGUUACAAUCUUAUUGUUUAGUUUCAAUUGAAUCCAUGGAUGGAUAGAAUUGUAUUUUCUGUAUCUAUUUCGAAGAAAGUGAAUCCAUGAUGGAAAAAGAUCAGCAGCGUUCUUGCAAGAGAGAGACAUGACAAGCCAUGGUGACAAACACAAAAUAGCAGCAGUGGAAAAAUUGUGCAGGACGACGAGUUUCCUUUUCAAGUGAACAUUUAUCCCUAGGCACAAGUGGAGGCUCUGUUUAGCAACGGGUGGUGCAAGUUUAUUAAAGUAGAAAUCAAGAUUGCGGAUUACAUCUAACCAAAAAAUUGGUUGUCAUAUGAGUUCCAUAAAUUCUACAGGAGAUUAUCGAGGUUGCAUCUUAUUUGUAUUUGAAAUUGCGGCUUAUGGCUUCAUUACUUUUCCAAUUUGAACUGUGUUAAUUGAUGAAAUGAUUUAUGGAUACACAUUGUCUACAUGGAUAUUUCUGAAUGAAAAAUUAU